CGCCCACCCUCCGCCCGUCCGCCCUCCCGCUCGCUCGCUCGCUCGCUCCUUCCUUCCUUUCCUUCCUUCCUCCGCGCAGCGCCCGAGGCGGCUCCUUUUAAGUCCAGCGGCAAUCCAUGAAGGCGAGCGAUCGGGUCCCUUUGCCCAAAGUGGCGCAAACGAUUUGUUAGUUCAUGAGCCUAAUUAGUGCCGCGGAUCACAUAAACAGCUUCCUCUGAAGCCUGGUAAAUGGCUUGAUGAUUGGUCGCUAUUACUCGCCUUGAGGUUGAAGGGGGGAAGACUCUUUAAAGUGCGUCAGAGGGGAGAGGCAAACUUCUGGCCGACGCGAUCCUGGAGGGAUGGAUCCGGGCCCGCCUGGAACGGACUCCUCCGCCUGCCGGGCGAGACUGAAGGGGGGCGAGGGAGAGAGAGGCGCAAAAUCACCCGAGGAGGCAGGAAGAGACGGACGCGGCGGCGGCGGCGGCUGGUCCCGCGAGUUGAAUCGAAGCCCGCCAGGGGUCAGAGACUGUGAGCCUUCGGCCAAUAGCUGUAACCUGAUUUACCAAACUAACUCAUCUGGAUUGAGGAGGUGAAAGCAAAGCCCCUCUUCAUCCUUUGAAGAGGUUUCAUCUUCUCUGAGAUCUCCAGAACUUCACUGAGGGAAAAGAUUUAUCUGAAAGAACAGCAGUGAUAUUUUAGGCCUGGACUCAUGCAAAAUCUGGUGCCACACUAAAGAGAACCUUGUCCUGGCUGUGUGCUGAAUGAACUUCAGUAGAGAUAAAACACAGAGCUCUACCUCACAAAGAUCUGAGGAGGUGAAUAGAAUCAUGUGUUGCUUGAUCUUCUCAAAACAUCAGUCUCUGAAUCUAAAACAGGAAUUAAACCCUGGAUUUGAAAUUAGGUUCCUCCAAAGAUUUUGGGGAGUCGUUAUUCAGCAUCAUGCAUUGAAGUGACUGCUGGCAUAUCAAAAUAAAAAAGAGACAAAGAAAAAAUAGCUCUCCUUGUUGCGUUAAUGCUACUAAAUGCCUCCAGAGAUGAUUCCUUUGUUUAUUUUCUUGGCUGUUCAAGAUAUUCUCAGGCAUCUUCUUCAACAACAGCUACACUGUAAGCUUACUAUACACACAUGCACUACAAGAAAUAAUCAUAAUCAGUCUAUAUCAGUGAAACCAGCAGGCUUUGCUUUUCAGUAGACCUUUCCAGGCUGUUUGAAGUAUUAGUGGCAGAUUUUUGGAUGUUCAUCAAAUAAAUUGUUCCAGACAGGACAACAGUGCGCUAUGCAAGCCAAGUUUCUUUGCUCUUGGCCAAAUGUUGACAGUUUAUCUAGUUCAAAUUACAGUCUCAUUGUUCUGUCCUUGUGCUUGUUGCCUUUCUUAAAAUAAUAUUCCUGAUUUUAUGAAUAAUGAAUCACAUUACAUUCAUUAUUUUAUCAAAGGCAAGGAUUCAUUCAUUCAUUCAAUUUAUUCGACUGCCCAGCAGAAAUUCACAACUAGCAAACAAUAAUCGAAAACAGCAUAAAAAACAUGAAACAAUACAGAAAAAACAGUGUACACAAAUUAGGUGCUCCUGUCAGAUUGGAGCUAGGUAGAUUCUGGAAAGAAAAGAGACAAAGUGUGCCCUGGUUAUGAUACUGUGUAUAGGAAGAGAACCUGGAGCCCCAGCCUCAGGUUCAUGCUUUGCCAUUUGCCUCUUUGGCAACUUCAAGCUAGUCACAUUCUCUUGCAGCCUUGAGUUCUCGUGGGGUCAUUAUUUGGGGCAUACCAUGUUUCCCCAAAAGUAAGGCCUACCCCGAAAAUAAGCCCUAGCUUGAUUUUGGGUGGUGAGCCUAAUAUAAGCCCUAGCCCAAAAGUAGCCCUAGUUUUGGGGCGAGGCAACACACCUAAAAAUCAAGCUAGGGCGGGAGUAGGGAUGUGAAUCUGCCCCACGGGCCCCGCACCCACUUACCUUGUAGCCAGGUCUCUCCUUGCCGGCCCACUUCUUCUGUGGCAUUUUCUGCAGCCAGGCCUGCAUUUCUCAGUCACAGGCCUUUCCAGAAGGCCUCUUCAGCCGAGAACCAAGCUCAGUACUUAGCUUCAUAGGCCUUCUGGAAAGGCCUGACUGCAAAAGGCAGGCCGGAAUGCAGCUGCAGAAUGAAGCUGCUCCUUUGGCCCCAGAAGAAGUGGGCCGGCUGGGCGAGGCUGUCAGUGCCUGAGGUGAGUAUAAGAGUCAUCCCCCCAAAAUAAGAUAUGGUGCCUCUUUUGGAGGCAAAAAAAAAAAAGACCUGGUCUUACUUUCGAGGAAACACUGGUAGAAUGAAUGGGAGAACCUCAUAUAAGCCUGUCUAGAGUUCCUCAAGGAAAGACAAGAUAUAAAACUAACAGACUUGGCAUGAGAUUAAAUGCUUUCAUGGGAGUACUGCUCAAAUACAGGUAGUCCUG